rnacentral:lncRNA from 1 species
UUUAUUGCCAUGUUCAUCUUCUAAUAUAUCUAACUUUUUUUUUCAUCUAUGACAGAGUCACAACUUACUCCCACUUUUCAUUAAUUAUAAAUUCUUGACCUUAUUGGAUUGAAAUUCAAUCUUUAAUCCAUAAUGAUCCUAUCCUAGCUCUACAAGAACAUUAGUUAGGAUCAAAGAUUUGCCAUUGAGAAUUGUGUUCUUUGCUGGCUUGAGGGAAUUUUUGUUCUUGGAAGAAAACUUUCAAAGUUAAAAAAGAAGAAAAAGCAUAAACAAAAGUGCUAUCAAAACCCACCUCCGGCCCCCAAGAAUAAUCUUUGUCAUUUAUCUCCCUCCAUUGAUUUUUGUGCUAUUCUGAUUUUUCCCCUCAGUUGAUUUUUGGCAAUGCCUUUUAGUGAGUUUUACGGGAUUUCUAUUUUGUUUCAAAUUCAUCUUCUUUUUUUUUUCAAUCUAUGACAGUCCCAACUUACUCCCACUUUUCAUUAAUUAUAAAUUGUUGACCUUAUUGGAUUGAACUUAAACUUUAAUCCAUAAUAAUCCUGUCCAAGCUUUGUAAGAACAUUAGUUAGGUAGGAUUAAAGAUUCGCUAUAAAGAAUUGUGUUCUUUGCUGGCUUAAGGGAAUUUCUGUUCUUGGAAGAAAACUUCCAAAGUUAAAAAAGAAGAUAAAGCAUAAACAAAAGUGCUAUCAAAACCCACCACCGGCCCCCCAGAAUAAUCUUUGUCGUUUCCUUCCCACAUUGAUUUUUGGUGUGCUAUUCUGAUUUUUUCCCCUCAGUUGAUUUUCGGCAACGCCUUUUAGUGAGUUUUACAGGAUUUUUGUGUUGUUUCUAAUU